rnacentral:tRNA from 11 species
GUUUUAAUAGUUUAAUAAAAACAUCGGUCUUGUAAAUCGAAAAUAAGAAAUUUUCUUUUAAAACU